rnacentral:lncRNA from 1 species
UUUCUGCCCCAGCACCGUGACAGAUAGCGAUUUGCCCAGUAAUUUGCCCAGUGCUUGCCCAAGUCACUGGUCAAAUCACCCCCAGGCCAGGAAAUAUCUUUCCCUUUUCUCCUUCAUUUUUCUAUAUGUUUAUUCACACAUUGAGGACAAUAUGUGGGAUAGGUGUGGGGGUACUGGAGAGUAUUUAUUCACUGAUCACACCACAUUUUUACCUUUUU